UACGUAGGGGGCCAGCGUUGUCCGAAGUUACUGGGCGUAAAGAGCGCGUAGGCGGGUCUUUUAAGUGAGGGGUGAAAGGUUCAGGGCUCAACCCGGACACUGCCUUUCAUACUGGAGACCUUGAGUGUGGGAGAGGCGAGUGGAAUUCUUGGUGUAGCGGUGAAAUGCGUAGAUAUCAAGAGGAACACCCAUGGCGAAGGCAGCUCGCUGGCCUAUAACUGACGCUGAGGCGCGAAAGCUGGGGGGAGCAAACAGG
rnacentral:rRNA from 1 species